GGAUGUGAGCGUCAUCUGGCUGCGACAUCUGUCCCCCCAUUGGUCGCCAGGGCUGGGUCGGCUGAUCUGGCUGUCUGGCCCGGUGUCCAGGUCCUCCUCAACGCUCCGUGUGCGUCCCUCCCAAAGCUGCGCGCUCGGUGGAAGAGGACGACCACGCCCCAUGGAGGAGACCAUUCCUCCAUCAAGGGUGUAGAGGAGCUGUGUUCCCCCGCUAGAACCUCAAAACAAACUCUCAAGAUCUUAUAUUUAGGUAUUUUACUUAUUUUGACUUGAUUUUCAUGUAUGGUAUAAAACAAGGGUACAAUUUCAU
rnacentral:snRNA from 1 species